rnacentral:tRNA from 1 species
GGGCCGUUAGCUCAGUUGGUAGAGCGUCGCUUCGGCAUAGCGGAGGUCGCCGGUUCGAGCCCGGCACGGUCCA